rfam:Marine actinobacterium MedAcidi-G2B MedDCM-JTLCOM-C1, whole genome shotgun sequence.
UAAUUUUCUAAAAUUUUAAGGUAAUCUUUCUGUACCUUAUGCAAGGCGAAGCUGGUGUGAAUCCAGCGCUGUCCCGCAACUGUGUACUCAAAUUUUGAGUGAGCCAGGUCGACCUUCAUAGGGCUUCGGCAAAAA